rnacentral:rRNA from 1 species
GAUGAACGCUGGCGGCGUGCCUAAUACAUGCAAGUCGAGCGAACAGACGAGGAGCUUGCUCCUCUGAUGUUAGCGGCGGACGGGUGAGUAACACGUGGAUAACCUACCUAUAAGACUGGGAUAACUUCGGGAAACCGGAGCUAAUACCGGAUAACAUGUUGAACCGCAUGGUUCAACAGUGAAAGACAGUCUUGCUGUCACUUAUAGAUGGAUCCGCGCCGCAUUAGCUAGUUGGUAAGGUAACGGCUUACCAAGGCAACGAUGCGUAGCCGACCUGAGAGGGUGAUCGGCCACACUGGAACUGAGACACGGUCCAGACUCCUACGGGAGGCAGCAGUAGGGAAUCUUCCGCAAUGGGCGAAAGCCUGACGGAGCAACGCCGCGUGAGUGAAGAAGGUCUUCGGAUCGUAAAACUCUGUUAUUAGGGAAGAACAAAUGUGUAAGUAACUAUGCACGUCUUGACGGUACCUAAUCAGAAAGCCACGGCUAACUACGUG